GGCAAAUCCAAAGAAAAUCAAAGGCAAAAUUUGUCCUCCAUUUCAUCUUGAAGGCAAAGUGGUUACGCGUGCGCGUGCGCCCUUAAAUCCCACAAUUACAUAUUAAUGGUCGAGCAAACGCGAAUGUGACUUUGGCCGAAAAAGUUUUCUACACCAAAAAGGCAAAGACAAAGUGUUUGGAGAUGGACACCAGCCGCCUUACUGUUAAAACGUGCCAAUAACGUUCCAGCUUGUGUGGAAGCUGGUUAUUGCAACUCUAAGACAGAAGAGGAGAAGAACUUACCUGUUUACGAUAAAGGAGUGAAAAGUAUCGUCGAGGGACUUGUCAACAACGAAUUUCAGUCAUGGUCCUCAUCUUUACAGACCGGUGAUGCUAGCUAAAGACCCAGAAGGAGCUACAAACAUUCAGGUCUCUCAGAGGAACACUGAGGAGAAAUAUGCUGCAACGGCUGAGGCAGCAGUAAUGGAGGAUACAGCCAAGCAAGCCUUGACCCUCUGAACUCGCAGUGUCAUAUCCAUCUCAUCACGCUGACUCCUUCAAGAGGGGGUGGACCUUGAAUGCAACCCAGUGUCGUGCAACUUUCAAAUCUGAAGAAUGAUGGGAGUGUGGUCAGAGGCAAGGCUGGAGGAGGAGGGUUUUCACUUACAUUAGAGAAUGAUAACCUAGUAAACAAGGUUUUAGUGAUUUGCAGGUCAAAAGACAUCUAGACAUCAAGGUUACAUUUUUUGAUCAUCUGCUGGACAUAUUACCAUUGUUUUAAUGACAUUUCAAAGACUUUUUUGUGUAGUUAAGAUACAGUCAUUAAUCUUGAAAUCAGUCAUCUUGCACAAAAGCUGGUGUAGAGCUGGCUGCACUCAUUUGAACUGGACUAUAUAUUGUAAAUGCUGAUACUUUUAUGUUUAGUUGGUAAAAGGGCGUGUCCAUCUACAUCUAGAUCACACCAGUGAUCUCCAGAGACGCAGACCUGGAAAUAUAAUUGAAUGUUGUUAUAUUUGUGAUGCUUUAUGAUGAUCUCUGACAGGUAUUCAGACUCUGUAGCGUCUAAAAAUGGCAGCUGACUCUCUCUCCCAGUAAAAGCCUUUUUAAGGCUCCUCUGAGAUUAAUAACAGUGUUAGCCUAAUGAGUAUUUGGGGUUCAGGCUAAAGCACAUCCAAUGAUUUCGGCUCUGUGUACAAAGAACCUUUCACAGCUGUUCUGGUGGGCUUGGGGUUGCUGAAAUAGGUUUGGUUAGGAGGACUCUGGGAAAGGUAAUGGGUGGUUAGGUAAUUUCAACAGACAUAGGCACUAGACUGGUGCCAUUAUUUGCGAGGAAGAGUCAGAGAGAGGUAGAGAAAGCGAGAGGAGGCGGGACAUCCAGAGACAGUCAGAGACAGAGGGUGAUUAGGGUUAGACAUGGUGCCACAGCUAGGCUGGAUCUAUAGAAAUAGCCUCUUAACAUGAUAUAUGAGGUACACACAAAAAAACAACAACUCGCAGAGCUGGUGACGGUAGCAUUGUGCUGCCAGUAAGGCUGGAAAAAAAUAACCGGGUAAGUAGUGUUAUAUAUCUUGCGCCACAGUUAUCAGGAACCAUUGAUAUACUAGAGUUGCAGUCGCCCUGCAUGCAUUUAUUCUGAAUUAGGAGUGCUGUUUUGUUGAGUGUACUUACACACAAAAAUUUUGUAUUGGCCAGCUGCUCUGCAGUUUCUGCUCUUUUUUCUACAGCUGCAAUACCCAGAUUUUUUCUUGGAACACAAAUUUUUUUACUGCUGGUAGGUUAUUGCUUUUAGAGGAGUUAGAGAUGUUCUUGUCUUCUUUGAAAUAUGGCUUCUAACUAAAAUAUAGACUUAAAUACUCUCUGGAUUAAAUACUUUACGUACAGAGUUUCCGUGCUUUGAUUUCCUGAAAAUUUAGUAUAUUGUUGUUAAUAGGAUUAUAGCAGCUAGCAUGUGGAAGGAUUUCAAUCACUGGCCAUCAAAUCAGUUGCUCGCACCCCUUUUACAUGCACUGUGGUACAGAGCAUUGCAAUUGUUGCCAUGGCUUAAAGUGAAUGACUUCAUCGUAAAAAAUUUGGUCCUUUUAGUUUUGUUUGUUCGAUAUUUUUUUACAUUGUUAAAUGUAUUUUACUAUGGUGCUGAGCACUCUGCUCAGCUGGGAAAGGUCCUGCAGAGAGUGAUGGUGUUCCCUUUACAUACUGCAGGGUGGGCUACCUGUAGACAAUACUUUCGUUUGCACCUUUGUCUGCCUUGUGCUAGAGGACAAUGAGCCCUACAUUUCUACCAUAGUUCAUUCUUUAUCAUUUGUAAUGAUUGCAUCACUAUGUUUUGUAUAAGGAGAAGAGUGCUUACAUAAAACACAUUUCCAAAUAGCAUCAGCAAUUUAGUCAUUUAGUCAAUUUUGUGCAUAAAGGCAGCAGCAGUGAUGGCCUUAAGAUGACAUAAAUGAGCUUGGAAUUGACAGGCUGUCAGUGUGAAACCUUGCACUGAUAAGGAAGAGAAAUUAUUAAGAAUUAAUGGAAGAUGGUUUAUCAGUGAUGAACCUGAACCCCUUCUACAACAUAGAUCCACAGAGUUGCAAGUAAACUGAAGACUUGAGACACUGUAGCUUUUUGGGCUUAUGCCACGCUCACAAUCGUAAAACGUGUGAUUACAAGUUGGAGAUAACAGCAAUUUCUGACAACUACAUUAUCUCCCAUUUGGCAAAAAGAACUUCAGAGAUAUCACAAAACAGGUGCCAAAAUGACUGUAAAGCUACAAUCAUCUGCAGUACAAUGUAAAUGAAAUCCAUGACACCAAUACAUUUGAUUUAGCUUUUAAAAAAGAAACUACAAAGCCUACACGGUAUGCUUGUAUCUCGUUUAACUUGUUAAGAACUACUACCAAUAUAAAACUUUUGGCUUCAUCUGGUAUGACUGCGUGCUAGCAAUGUGGGUAACCAUCUUGGGAUAAUGCAUGAAUGCUACCGAGUCGUAAUCAUGUUUUUUUGCUUUGAGAUUAGUUUUCACACUGCUGACAUGGAAUGAAUGCAUCAUUGAUGUUGGAAGCAAGGAAUGGCUGAAAAACAAUACAUAAAGAUGGUUUUAUAUCCUAUGUUCCUUCAAGGCUAUCCUAUAAUGCAUCACACACAUGCUGUGAAAAUCCCUUUACAUUAAUAUUGUCUCUUCCUGUGUGAAUUGUGUUACAAGGAUGGUUUGGUCAUUUUGAACAGCAGUGCUGCCACUCUGGUGCACUUUCUCCCUCCCUCUCAGGGAGAUGGAGAAAAUAUGGACGAGCAUGGAGAAAAUUACAUAAAAGCAGCAGAUCUGUAUCUUUAUGAUAAUGGUUCCAUUAUGUGCUGAAUUACAUGUUCGUGGUUUUGCAAUUCCAGUUAAAAAAAAACAUGGGGUACUGUUUGAGAGUAGCUUUUUUUUCCUCCCUGCAUUUGUGUGUUCAUCCCUUAACAAGUUAGUACAUUUCGUGACAUCUCUAGCUUUCACUUCCUGAUUUUUUUUUAACCUAAAAGCAAAAAGAUGAAUAAUCUAAACCAUCUGUGCCAAACUUGUGAUUGUUUCAUUUAACUAUGCACCCGUUGUAGUUGUACUUGUGUCUUCAUCAACGCCAGUGCAAUGCCCACACAUUUGUAAAAACAGUGCAGACAUCCCAUCAUCACUGGAGAGAUGAACACUGUUAGCAAACUCCAGCCAUUACAUCAUUACA